UACCCUCCACGUGACUGGCGAGACGGGGGAGCACCCCGAGGGAGCGUGGAGGACCGUUUCGAUGCCGCUCGCCUGGGCAGCCUUG
rnacentral:ncRNA from 2 species